GAAUUUUGGACAAUGGGCGCAAGCCUGAUCCAGCCAUGCCGCGUGUGUGAAGAAGGCCUUCGGGUUGUAAAGCACUUUCGGACGGAACGAAAUCGCGCGGACGAAUAUUCCGCGUGGAUGACGGUACCGUCAGAAGAAGCACCGGCUAACUACGUGCCAGCAGCCGCGGGAAUACGUAGGGUGCGAGCGUUAAUCGGAAUUACUGGGCGUAAAGGGUGCGCAGGCGGCUUCGCAAGUCAGACGUGAAAUCCCCGGGCUCAACUUGGGAAUGGCGUUUGAAACUACGAGGCUGGAGUGUGGCAGAGGGAGGUGGAAUUCCACGUGUAGCGGUGAAAUGCGUAGAGAUGUGGAGGAACACCGAUGGCGAAGGCAGCCUCCUGGGCCAACACUGACGCUCAUGCGCGAAAGCGUGGGGAGCAAACAGG
rnacentral:rRNA from 1 species